CGCCAUUGCUCCAUCUGUGAGACGCACCCUUCUUUAGAAGUAAAAUUUCUUUGCUGAGAAAAUUCAUAUUAGAGUGCUAUUUCUUUUGCAGCACUGAAAAUUUAUUUCCAACAAAUUUGGGGGUUCAUCUAGGAUUCCCAUUCUCCUCUGGGAAAGGGUCUUCUGCCUCUCCCAUGAGAAGGCGUGCCCCACUGCCUUGUUGUGGCGGCCUCAGGGGUAAGGAAUCAAGACCCACCUGGUGUGAUGAAUAAACCUGGACUCUCAGCGAUGCAGGAAGAAACAGGCUGGCAGCUUGGGGAAAGGAUUCUUACAUACCACGGCGACCAGGUAACUCUGUGCACAGACCCAGAACUAAAGGUCUUUCAGCACACGCGCCACCCCUAGAGUUUCCAGUACACCAACAUCAGCCUGAGGACCACAUCCUCGUCAAAAGUUGGAGGGAAGGAAAACUCGAACUGGCUUGGGAAGAACACUUCCUAGUGCUUCUAACCACCGAGACUGCAGUUUGAACAGCAGAAAGAAGAUGGACUCAUCACACCUGGGUCAAAAGAACACGACCCCCUCCAGAAUCAUGGGCAGCUAUUCCUGGGCCAACUCCAACGAAGCUAAAGCUUGGUUUGAUCCUCUUACAUUGCAUCUCUUUCUUUUCCCCUUCGAUUGCUAGACCUCUCAUUAGUAAUGUAACUAGGUCAAGUUCACCCCAAACUACUACUUUUGAUGCUUGCCUUGUGAUGCCCUGUGGAGAUUUGCCUAACCAGAGGUAACUCUCCACUUCAGAAAAGUAUCUUUAUCCUUCCUAGCUCUCCUCAGACUGGAAAUCUGUUAACUGGGAUAGGUUAGUUUGGGAUGAGUUUGACGAAGAUUCUAGUAUGAACUGGGAAUCUUGUCCUCCUAGAGCAGAGCUUCUCUGCCGAAGUUGGUCCAAUGCUCUGUAAAAUACUGAAGAGCAAGGAUGGACCACCCCAACUAGUACUUGCAGUUUCUUAAAACCAUAUAUUCAUUUUACUACAAGAGUUAACCCUCCCCAUUGUCAGCUGAACCAAUGUAAUCCAGUACAGAUUACCAUCGCUGCUCCCCAGAGUUCUUCCCCUUCAUUAAGCUGUUUCUAUGGUAUUGGAGCAGAAGUCUCAGGGAAGGACCCCAUGGGAUCCUUUGCAAUGCACUUCGUCGCCUCCUCACCUCCUGCACCCACUUCUCCCUCUCCUUAGUUCUCCGGUAACCAAACCUUCUCUCGUUAUAUACCCAAUGAUAAAACCAAAGUAAUUGUUGUACAGGUUAAAGAUUCAAAACAAACCAUAGCAACUGAAACAGGGUAUCAGGACGCAAAUGCUUGGCUGGAAUGGAUUAAACAUUCUGUUUGCAGGCUAAACAAAAGCGCCUGUUACACUUGUGUGACAGGCAGGCCAGAGACCCAAAUUGUUCCCUUUCCACUUGGGUGGUCCUCUCACAGACCGGGCACGAGCUGUGUGGUAGCUCUCUUCCAGAACCCCACAGCCUGGGGUGGUGAGUCAUGCAAGACUCUUUCACUGCUGUUCCCUGAGGUCAAGAGCCCUGCGGGUCAGCCCUGAAGACUAUCCGGCCUCCAGCCCCUGAUGUUAACUUCACCUCAUGCCUUUCACGGCAGGGGGAAAAGUUAGCAUUCCUUGGAGACUUAACAGGGUGCAGUGAAACCAGGCCUUUUGAAGAGCUUACCAAUCAGUCUGCCCUUGUUCAUCCCCGAGCAGAUGUGUGGUGGUAUUGCUGGGGACUACUGCUGGGUACUCUGCCAAGUAAUUAGAGCAGCACUCAUGCUCUAGUCCAACUGGCCAUCCCUUUCACCCUAGCAUUCUGUCAAUAUGAUAAAAAAAAAAUUGUAAAAGAAGUGCCUCACGUGGGUCCUUUGACCCCCAUGUUUAUAUAAACACUAUUGGAGUUCUAUGAGGAGAACCAGAUGAAUUUAAAGCCCGAGAUCAAAUAGCUGCAGGAUUUAAGUCAGCAUUUUCAUGGGUGACAAUAAAAACAUAGAUUGGAUAAAUUACAUCUAUUAUGAUCACCAGUGGUUUAUUAAUUAUUCCACGGUUGCUGUCAAAGGGAUAACAGAACAACUGGGGCUCACCAGCCAGAUGGCCUGGAGAAACAAAAUGGCCCUGGAUAUGAUAUUAGCCACAAAAGGCGGUGUUGGUGUUAUGAUUAAAACUCAGCGUUGUACCUUUAUCCCAAACAACACUGCCCCCACUGGGGGCAUAACAAGAGCCUUACAAAGACUUACUGCUUUAUCCAAUAAACUAGCUAAACUUCUAGAGUCGAUAACUCUUUCUCAGAGUGGCUAGAAAGGAUGGUUUGGUAAAUGGAAAGAAAUCACAGCCUCAAUUCUUCUCUUGCAGCCUUAGUAGGUGUACUCGUUCUCGUUGGGUGUUGUGUCAUACCAUGCAUCCGUGGGCUAGUAUAAAGACUUAUAGAAGCAACACUUACUAAAACUUCCCUUAGCUCUCCUCCACCUUAUUCAGAUCAGUUUUUUCUUUUAUAGGAUUAAAUUGAACAACAAAGCCAAGACCUGUUAGAAAAGUUUGAAGAGAAACUACUAUGAAAAUUGAAAAGGGGGAAAUUGUAGGAUAAUAAUAAUAAAUUCCUGUCCAAAGGUUUUAGCCUGUAAAUUGUUAAGUAUAAAGUUCUGAGAUCCUCUCCAAAGAACCAAUGUAUCAGUAUGUUCAGCUCCCCUGUUCUUUGUUCUACAUUAUAAAGUUUAACUUCCUCAUUCUUUAUGUCUCCUUGCACCUAGUUUCAGUAAACAACCCCCUCCUAGCCUCUAUCACCUGCUCUGACCUUAGUCACCCUUCGUCACCUACUCUGUUCUUAGUCAUCCUGAGUCACCUGUUCUGUAACCAUCAUUCCCACCAAACUGCUCACCCUGCCUCUCUGGCUCAUACCCUUGCUGUCUUUAAAAUAGCCAGUCAGAAUUAGCUUAGACUGUGUGGUCCAACCAUAGCCAAUGGGGGAAUGACACAGCAGUAGGGGCUACCUGCAUCAGGGAUAAGAACCCCUUUCCCUCACUUGUUCAGGUGUGCUCUCACCAUUGCUCCAUCCAGGAGAUGCACCCUUCUAUAGAAGUAAAAUUGCCUUGCUGAGAAAAUUCAUGUUUGAGGGCUAUUUCUUUUGCGGCACUGAAAAUUUAUUUCCAACAUUCCUAACAGUACAAACACUUGGAAUAAGUAGCUCCUUUCUCCCUUCCCCUUUUCCAGCGGCAGCAACACCUCCAAUAUGAACUUGGAGAUUGGCAUCUAUCAUCCUUCCAUUUUAACCCAUCCAAGGACUCUUUAGAAACCAUCAACAAAGGCUAUUCUCUAAGACAUAUGGCAUAGGUCAGGGGCUAGGAGAUGUUUUCUUUGAAAGAUUACAUAAACAUCUUAGGCUCACAGGCCAUAUGCUCUCUGUCACACCUAUUCAACUCUGCCAUUCUAGCAUGAAGGCAGCCAUAGACAUAUGUAAGCAAAUGGAUGUUGCUGUGUCUUAAUAAAACUUUAUAAAAAGGGCCAGAUUUGGCCUAUGGAGCUGUAGUUUGCUGACUCCUGGGAAUAGACCUUAUUUAAUUAAUAAUUGCCUUAGUUAGAUUUUCAUCUUAUUUCAGAUAAUUUCUAUCUCAU
rnacentral:lncRNA from 1 species